CUCCUUUUUGCUGCUUUCCACUGGUUUACUUAGUCUGAUCUUUAAUAUCUGUCAUGCCAUCCAAUAUUGUGUAUUGAACUUUCCAUAUGUGUGCUCGCAGAAGGCACUCCCGUCAGUUUCAGUUUCCUUGAGUAUUGACAUUCUUCAUUUACCACAAGGCAAAUCCAGGCCACCGCGUAGUUCCGUGAACUGAGCGGCUGCCAAGGCAAAGCCAAGCCAACGUUCAGUUCCGUGAACUGAGCGGACGCCAAAUGCAGACCCCUCAGUUCCGUGAACUGUGAGGCUGCUAAGGCAAAGGCAGGCAACUGUUUAGUCCCGUGAACUGAAAGGUCACAAAGGCAGGCAUCAAUCGGUUCCGUGAACUGAAAGAGGCUGGAAAGAUGUGUGGUAAAUGAAGAACGUCUCACCAACCAAAUCAGCUUCGGAAUAUAUUAUAUACUAUGUAAUUCAACUGCAACUAUCGGAACACAGCUUAGUGAGCUUCUUUUUCUCUCCUCUAUAAUCAAUAUUUGGGUUUUCGCUUCUCAUUUCAUCAUAUUGUCUUUCUUUCUCGCUGUCUCGCCGAUUCUUCUACUCAUUCAGGUCUAUCAGUCUUAUUCAUGGUUUCCGCCAUUUUUCUGGUUAGAGUUUGGAGUCAUGCAUAUAACUGUCAUCUGGCGUAGAUUUUUUUUUGCAAAUAAAAAAGUAAUCAUCUGUAUUUAACUCUAUACAAGGUCAAAAGGUAAACAUUCUCAACUCUAACUCAAUGUUUUCAUUGUUAUGCAUAAAUUGUUUCUAACUUGAGCGUCGGAGUAUAUUUUUUGUUUUUUGCAGGUGUUGCCUUUUUAUGCUGGUGCCUCGCGGGGAAUUUUAUUUGUUUGGCUUCUGAUCAGUUUGCUUUUACGGGAUGUCUGGAUUAGAAUAGGUCUUGCCUGCUUUUUCAGAUGCCACUCAUUAGGGAGGAUUGCUUAAUGUGGGAUGCCGGUGGCUGGUAGAGAGUGCUUGCCUGGUUGUUGUCAGGGUAUGUUCAGACCAAAGCAGCUGAUGUUUAGCUUUUAUUUUGUUUCUUUACUAGACUAUUAGAUGUAGAAAUGUGGGCAUCCAGUAAUGGUGAACUGAUAACCAAAUUUGUAGGAGUGCACUAGAAGUUCUAUGGUACACAGUGGCUUGCCUUGGCUUCCUUGACCUUGUAUUUGAGAUUAAGAGGCCUGUUGGCGAGUGGGUAGGGAGGGUGACCUUUUAUCUAAUUCCAUUUUAUUAGCCUUUUUAUGCAUGUUAUUGAAACAUUCGUUCAUGAACUAUGCUGUGAUCUGUGUUGCAGAGAUACAUGGAUUUAGGAAUCUGGGCCAUCAGUAGAUUAAGUUGAAUAAGCAGGACAAGUUCCCAAUAUUCAUGUAAAACAUGUUACGAACUGUUGGUCAUAAGAUUCUAGUAAGAACAAAAGCCACCCACGGUGCACUUGACUUUCGGAUUUUUAUUAAGGCACUUCACCCUUUGUUGUUACGAGAAUGGUGGUACAAUCUAACUGGGUUGGCAAUAAUACUCAUGGAACUUGGUCAUGUUCUUUCAAAUCAUGAGCACCCGUAGAAUGAUGAUAUGAAGGUUACCUGGUUUUUGUAACCGUCUCCUAUUUGAUAUGCCAGCUUAAUUUUACUGCAA